rnacentral:rRNA from 1 species
UACGUAGGGUGCAAGCGUUGUCCGGAAUUAUUGGGCGUAAAGAGCUCGUAGGCGGUUUGUCGCGUCGAAUGUGAAAACCCGGGGCUCAACCCCGGGCCUGCAUUCGAUACGGGCAGACUAGAGUUCGGUAGGGGAGUCUGGAAUUCCUGGUGUAGCGGUGAAAUGCGCAGAUAUCAGGAGGAACACCGGUGGCGAAGGCGGGACUCUGGGCCGAAACUGACGCUGAGGAGCGAAAGCGUGGGGAGCAAACAGG